rnacentral:rRNA from 1 species
AGAGCGAACGCUGGCGGCAGGCCUAAUACAUGCAAGUCGAACGGAUCCUUCGGGAUUAGUGGCGCACGGGUGAGUAACACGUGACUAACCUACCCUUGAGUGGGGGAUAACCUAGGGAAACCUGGGCUAAUACCGCAUAAUACCUUCGGGUCAAAGGAGCAAUUCGCUUAAGGAGGGGGUCGCGGCCGAUUAGUUAGUUGGCGGGGUAAUGGCCCACCAAGACUAUGAUCGGUAUCC